rnacentral:rRNA from 1 species
AGGGCUUAACUGUCUCCUCCCCCCAGUCAAUGAAAUUGAUCUUCCCGUGCAGAAGCGGGAAUGUACCCAUAAGACGAGAAGACCCUAUGGAGCUUUAGACAUACGGCAGCCUAUGUUAAGCACCCCUAAUAAAGCCUCGAAACAAAGUAGGCCCUGCCUGAAUGUCUUUGGUUGGGGCGACCGCGGGGACAUACAAAACCCCCACGUGGAAUGGGAGCACCUCUCCCAGAACCAAGAGCCACAGCUCUAAGCAACAGAAUUUCUGACCAGCGAGAUCCGGUACAUCCGAUCAACGGACCGAGUUACCCUAGGGAUAACAGCGCAAUCCCCUUUCAGAGUCCCUAUCGACAAGGGGGUUUACGACCUCGAUGUUGGAUCAGGACAUCCUAAUGGUGCAGCCGCUAUUAAGGGUUCGUUUGUUCAACGAUUAAAGUCCUACGUGAUCUGAGU